UAGUUGGGUUCGUUUCUGCUCAGCCACAAUGGGAACUCUGGUAGCCGCCCAUUUUCAGGUGGACUUGACCUCCACAGCCCAUGUGACACGGACAAAGUGAGGCUCAGGUAUAUGGAAAUGCAUGGAAUCUGCAAGGCUGGAGACGCACGCCAUCCAGCCAUGGUCCAGUGUCCCUUGAGCUCCUUUAAGCUCUUUGCUAGCUGGCUCCAUUCACACUCAUGAGCGUGGGUGCCCACAGAGCCUGGAAGUCACAUUAUGCCUCUUUUAUAGGUUAAUAAACGGAGCUUGAAGAGGUUAAGAGGUUUCCCCAAGGUCGCCCAGCUGCCAGGCAGGCACCAGACUGACCAUGUGUUGUGACAGGCGCUGGAGUGGUGGCUGGUGAUUUCGGGUGUUAGGCGGAGGCCCCUUGUGGGCUGGAAACGUGGUGGGGCUGGGCUGGCCCCGGCUGCCCCUGCAUUGCUCUCAAGUCCUUGCUUUCUCCCUAAUGCACGCACCUCAUUUGAGCUAUUCUGCUCCACUGCACAUACCCAGAGGGCCGUGACUAAUGCUGCUGGAGCUGGUACCUCUGGGGAAAGAAAAGAACCAGCUUUGGGGGAAGACGGGCCGCAUCAGCUGGAAGUAAAGAACUGGUUUGUGUGGCUGUGGAGGCUGGCACGUCCAAAAUCGGUUAGACUGGCAGGCUGGAGACCCAGGAAGAGGCGACGUUGAAGUUCAGGUGAAAUAACACGACGUUUGGGAUUUCCUUGGAAGUUACUCCAGCAAAAGGAAAGGUGAGGAUAGUGAAACCACUGCGGCCAAAUGCUCAUGCAUGGUGAGUAUGGGUGAUGCACACGGGGCCCACGGCCCUUCUACCAUUGCGUGUGUUCAGAAACUUUCAUCGAUAAACAUUAAAAUAAGUAGAUCCAUU